rnacentral:rRNA from 1 species
GAUGAACGCUGGCGGCGUGCCUAACACAUGCAAGUCGAACGGAGUUGCUUCUACCCGACGGAUCAUCUUCGGAUGAGAAGUCACCUGAAGCGCUUAGUGGCGGACGGGUGAGUAAUGCGUGAGCAACCUGCCCUUCAGAGGGGGACAACAGUUGGAAACGACUGCUAAUACCGCAUGAUAUCAUUGGGAGGCAUCUCCUGGUGAUCAAAGAUUUAUCGCUGAAGGAUGGGCUCACGUCUGAUUAGCUAGUUGGUGAGGUAACGGCUCACCAAGGCUGCGAUCAGUAGCCGGACUGAGAGGUUGAACGGCCACAUUGGGACUGAGAUACGGCCCAGACUCC